rnacentral:rRNA from 1 species
AACGCGAAGAACCUUACCAGCCCUUGACAUCCCGGUCGCGGGUUCCAGAGAUGGGACCCAUCAGUUCGGCUGGACCGGUGACAGGUGCUGCAUGGCUGUCGUCAGCUCGUGUCGUGAGAUGUUGGGUUAAGUCCCGCAACGAGCGCAACCCUCGCCUCUAGUUGCCAGCAUUAAGUUGGGCACUCUAGAGGGACUGCCGGUGAUAAGCCGCGAGGAAGGUGGGGAUGACGUCAAGUCCUCAUGGCCCUUACGGGCUGGGCUACACACGUGCUACAAUGGCGGUGACAGUGGGACGCGGAGGGGUGACCCCGAGCAAAUCUCAAAAAGCCGUCUCAGUUCGGAUUGUGCUCUGCAACUCGAGCACAUGAAGUUGGAAUCGCUAGUAAUCGCAGAUCAGCACGCUGCGGUGAAUACGUUCCCGGGCCUUGUACACACCGGAGUA